UAAAAACAAAAUCUUCAUCAUUCACACAAUUCAAUCAAAUUUCAUGGGUGUAACGUCAACAUUUUCAUCAUUCCCAUAAUUCAAUCAAAUACCAUGGGUUUAAUAGUAGCGUUUUCAUCAUUAACUCAAUUCAAUCAAAUUUUAAUGGUUUUAAGAGCAACAAUUUUAUCAUUCCCACAAGUCAAUCAAUUUUCACGGGUUUAAGAGUAACAUUUUCAUCAUUCCCACAAUUCAAUAAAAUUUCAUGGGUUUAACAGCAACAUUUUCAUCAUUCA
rnacentral:lncRNA from 1 species